GCCCCUGUGGCGCAGUGGUCAGCGCACUCCCAAACGGUUUCCCCCCGAUGCACUGUUCCCCUUCCCCUUCCCCUUCCCUUUCCCCCCGGAACGGUGCAUCACAGCCCACUGGGAGAGGUCCUCGGUUCAAACCCGGGCAGGAGCA